AAAUCACCAACCCAAGAUAUCUGACACUGUCCCUCUUGGCGACGACCUGAGAUCCAAUCAUCACGUCCCUGCCUACUUCGCUCGGUUUGGCGCUAAGCUUGCACUCCAGGUAUUCUGUCUUAGAUCUGCUUAUUUUGAAACCAUUAGACUCGAGAGCCUAUCUCCAUACCUCUAACCUCUUAUUAACACCGUCCCUCGUCUCGUCUAUCAAGACUAUGUCAUCAGCAAAUAGCAUACACCAAGGCACGUUCCCUUGAAUAUGUCGGGUAAGAGCAUCCAUCACCAAGGCAAACAAGAGAGGGCUAAGCGCCGAUCCUUGAUGGAGCCCCAUAACCACUGGAAAAUGGUCUGAGUCGCCGCCAACCGUCCUAACCAUAGUCUUAGCUCCAUCAUACAUCUCCUUGAUUACUCUGAUGUAGGCUUCCGGCACGCUCUUUGCCUUCAAGCACCUCCAUAGCACCUCCCUUGAGACCUUGUCAUACGCCUUCUAUAAGUCGAUGAGCACCAUGUGCAGGUCCUUCUUCUUAUCCCUAAACUGCUCCACCAGCCUCCUGACAAGGUAGAUAGCUUCUGUAGUGGAGCGACCCGACAUGAAACCGAACUGGUUCACAGAUAUAAAUGUCAACUCCCUCACCCUCCCCUCGAUCACCCGCUCCCAAACCUUCAUGGUGUGACUUAUUAAUUUGAUACCCAUGUAGUUGUUGCAGCACUGGAUGUCCCCUUUGUUCUUGUACAAGGGCACCACUGUACUCCACCUCCACUCCUCCGGCNNNNNNAAGAGCAUCCAUCACCAAGGCAAACAAGAGAGGGCUAAGCGCCGAUCCUUGAUGGAGCCCCAUAACCACCGGAAAAUGGUCUGAGUGUCCAUCCACCGUCCUAACCCUACUCUUAGCUCCAUCAUACAUGUCCUUAAUUACUCUGAUGUAGGAUUCUGGCACGCUCUUCGCUUCCAAGCACCUCCAUAGCAACUCCCUUGGGACCUUGUCAUACGCCUUCUCCAGGGUCGAUAAGCACCAUGUGCAGGUCCCUUUUCUUAUCCCUGAACUGCUCCACCAGCCUCCUGACAAGGUGGAUAGCUUCUGUAGUGGAGCGACCCGG
rnacentral:lncRNA from 1 species